GAACGCACAUUGCGCCCUUUGGUAUUCCGAAGGGCAUGCCUGUUCGAGCGUCAUUAUCACCCCUCAAGCCCCUGGCUUGGUGUUGGACGGUUUGGUGGAGGUCCCCUCGGGGGCUCCUGCCCCUCCCAAAGACAAUGACGGCGGCCUCGUUGGACCCCCGGUACACUGAGUUCUUCACGGGACACGUAUCGGACACAUGGGUUUACGGGACACGGUCUGCCUCCCCUCAGGGAGAAUCUUUCUAAGGUUGACCUCGGAUCAGGUAGGGAUACCCGCUGAACUUAAG
rnacentral:misc_RNA from 1 species